GGGUUGGCUUGCUGAGGAGAAGAUAAAAGAGACAAAAUCAGCUAAGGCUAAAGUUUUUGGAAACACUGGACUGGGGACCAGCUCUAGUGUUAUGGCAGAGCGGGUCAGCCCCUGCACCCAAAUGGGUCAUUGCGGACUCAGAAACUCAGCCUUCACAUAAAUAAGUAAAUCUUUUUUUUAAAAAAAGAUUUAUUUAUUUAUUUAUUUGAGAGGCAGAGUUACAGACACACAGAGAGAGACAGAGAGGGUCUUCUGUACACUGGUUCACUCCCCAAAUGGCUGCAAAGGCCAGAGCUGGGCUUAUCUGAAGCCAGGAGCCAGAAGCUUCUUCCUGGUCUCCCACAUGGGUGCAGGGGCCCAAGGACUUGGGCCAUCUACCACCGCUUCCCAGGUACAUUAGCAGGGAGGUGGAUGGGAAAUGGAGCAGCUGGGACUCAAAUUGGCACCCAUAUGGGAUGUCAGUUUAACGUGCUGUCUCACAGCAAUGGCCCCAAAUAAGUAAAUCUUGAAAAGAAGGAAGGAAGGAAGGAAGGAAGGAAGGAAGGAAGGAAGGAAGGAAGGAAAGCAAGCAAGCAAAGCAGUGAUGAAACCAGCAGAAAGCACAGUGGAGGAAGGUGCAAAAAUAGAAUCCAUGUUGCAAAUGUUUGACUCCCAUAAGAACAGCUGGGAACAGACCCUGAGGAGGCGGAGCAGGAGAUAGGGAAGCAGGCUCAGUGCCACAGCUCUGCAGGCAUCUGGCCAACUCCAGGCCUUACUGCAGCCCUCCUCGCAGGCUCCUCAGGCCCAGGGAUUGUCUGCCCCAGGAAACAUGAGGCGAGGAGGGGUCUAGCCCAGAGAACAGGACGGGAUGGAGGCUCUGGCGGCCGCCCCUGCCCUCUGGACCGCCUUGGGGGCAGGCGCGGGCGGCCUGGACCGGGCCAUGCAGCCGCCCCGCGCAGCCUUGGACUCAGCGUGGGGUGUGCAGCGGGCGGGGCCGGGGCGGGGGUGCGGACUGCAGGACGUGCCGGACGUGCGUGGCCCCCGGGCUUGCUGCACAGCGCACUGGGCCCCGCACCCCCCGCGGCUGCUCCCAGCCCCUCGGCCGCGCCCGAGCACCGCUCAGCUUCCGCAGCCUGCGUGGGGGGCCACAGGCUCAGGCCCGAUGGAGGGGGCGGGGAACCCCGCGGGGAAGGGACCCGGUGCCCCUGGCAGCCGCCCCCGACCCUCGGGGCCCUGCCCUGCCGAGGCAAUAAAGACCAGAAAACCACGGAAAAAAAAAAAAGCCAGCCUUCCCGUGGGACGCAACCCCUUUACCUGCAUCCCCCAGGCAUGUGCAGGCUGCCCCAGACCACUCCAUCAGUCCAGGCUGCCCAUGUGUGGAGCAGACCUCCACCUCUGUGAGGACCGAAUUCUCCACCCUCAUUGUGCCCUUGACGUGUGAGCUGAGUUAGGCUCCACCAGGCUGGGUCCCUGGGAGCUAGGAGAGAGGAAGCAGCUGGUAAGGGCAGUGGGAUCAGCCCUGCACGUAAGGGGUCCUUUAGUGUCAGCUCUGCUCCACCCUUGUCUUUGCAUUGUCUCCCCUGGUACACACGGCUUUCUCCUCCUGGAGGGACAGCAGUGGCCUGCUGCACAAGGCAGCUGCCGUCCAGACAGCUCGGUGGCUGAGGGCUGGGAGGCCUCCCCUCCUCUCCUCCACCAGCCUCUCCUGCCUGUCUCCACUAAUUCCGUGCCUUUCUGGAUUUCUAUUCACUGGAACAAAAAUGACAUUGUGACCAUGACCACGUUACCCUGAAUGGAAACACAAAGAACAGGACUGAUUAAGCUGUUUGGCAUUCCUUGUCGCAUGAUCUACACGGAAACAUACCACACCAGAUGUUCCAUUCACAGCUCUGAAAGUUCUCCUCUGCUUUUGUCUCCAGAUGACUGUCCCACAAAUGUUUUUUUAUUUGUUCCCUUUGUAUUUAUGAUUUAAUUUAAG
ensembl:lncRNA